rnacentral:rRNA from 1 species
GACGAACGCUGGCGGCGUGCUUAACACAUGCAAGUCGAACGAAGAGCGAUGGAAGCUUGCUUCUAUCAAUCUUAGUGGCGCACGGGUGAGUAACGCGUAAUCAACCUGCCCUUCAGAGGGGGACAACAGUUGGAAACGACUGCUAAUACCGCAUACGAUCUAAUCUCUGCAUCGAGGAUAGAUUAAAGGUGGCCUCUACAUGUAAGCUAUCACUGAAGGAGGGGAUUGAGUGUGGUUAGCUAGUUGGAGGGGUAACGGCCCACCAAGGCGAUGAUCAGUAGCCGGUCUGAGAGGAUGAACGGCCACAUUGGGACUGAGAAACGGCCCAGACUCCUACGGGAGGCAGCAGUGGGGAAUCUUUCGCAAUGGACGACAGUCUGACGGAGCAACGCCGCGUGAGUGAUGACGGCCUUCGGGUUGUAAAGCUCUGUUAAUCGGGACGAAAGGCCAUCUUGCGAAUAGUGAGAAGGAUUGACGGUACCGGAAUAGAAAGCCACGGCUAACUACGUG